UGCAAACCCAAUGACCCAACAGUCACACGACUCUUCAAAUUCUCUCUCCUUCCCAAUUCCCAUGGUGAUUUCCAAAAAUAUGUCAAUUAAUUCCCUUAAUUAUCUCAACGACUCAACCAUCUCCCUCGCUCCUUUGACUCUCACUUUCUCUCUCUGUCGUUCAAGCCCUUCUCUACCAGGUUUUCCCAUAUGACAUGAUCAUAUUUGAAGAACUGGAAAUUGGAGUUAUGGUGCAAGCCGUUAGAAAGGCAACAACCAUGCUCCGUAACAUUGAUCCAUAAGUUAUGCACCUCAAAUGAAAAGGCUAUACAGUUGGCAUGAUGUUGCUAAGAGAACAGAGAGAGUCUAUGAGCGGGCUCUGACGUGUGCUGAUCAGAGUCUUCUUGAACGGCUUUCAAGGUAAUGCUUGAUCAAUAUGUUAUUCUUCUAUGUUAUGAGGUAUCAUAUGAACUAAAGUGUUAAAAGGCAGUACUGAAAAUGCAGUGAAUGUAAGGAAAUUCUUGAUAAAAUGCAGAUUUUAAAAUGUUAUGAUCUGUUUUCUUUAGGUCGUAUUUUUUUGGCCGAUUGGCCCCUUGAGCUUUGCUUGGCCAGAAGUCUAUUUGGUAAUUAUUCUAGUUGAGCUCUUCUAAGAACUUCCACAAAUGAUUAACUUACACAAACACGUACAACUACCAAGUAGAAAUAAAUCUUACGCAUAAAGCAUAAUAGUACCCAACAUUAUAUUUAAAGGGUAAGUGUUCAUAUUAAUACAUCAGUGGGUCUCCUAUGCGACGCGCCACGCCACCAAUUAAAGGUGUGACACGUUCACACAUGAAGUGGGAACGUAACUGCGAACAACAUAAAUUACCGCUAAAUACAAAACACGAACACUAAAAACAUAAUAAUGUUUCUUGGAUCAAUGGUAAGCCAUGAUAGUUUUAAAACUUUGCUCCACAAUUUAGUCGUGGGUCCGAUGACAAACAGUUGAAUUUCAUCAUUUAUUUUUUUUAUUUUUUUUCAUUUCAUCUCUUGGUUUUCAAUUAUUCUUUUGUGUUAUUAGAGGUUUUCGAUGCGUAGUAAUCUUAUUGUAUCUUGAUUUUUUGGUUUCUUUUGAUUUUAUUUUCAAUCUCUUGCUUUUCAAUGUUUUUUUUUUUGUGUGUGUGUUAUAGAGGUAACUUCUUUUUUAUUUUAUUUUAAAAAAAGUUUGUUUUGUCGAUAUUAUUUUGAGUUAGUGGUAAGUAUAUUUUUAGUUGCUUUUUGGAUCACUAGGGACGUUAAUUUAUUUUAAACGUUUCUCUCCUAAACUAUAAAAGUAUCUAGCCUAAAAUUAUAACAGUAACUCCCCUAAAACUAUAAAAGUACCCGGCCUAAAAUUAUAUGAGUAAAUAAAAAUAAUUGGCCUAAAACUAUAAAAGUGCCUGGACGAAACCUAUGUUACUUUAAUAUUUUACUAGUGUUAUUUUUUCUACGUUAAUGGUGUUACUUUAGACAAUAGGCACAAUUACUAUAAAUAUUCCUAAGUGUUACUUCAAUUUGUAUUUUGAUUUACUUUUAUAGUUUCAAAAAACUAUAAAAGUAUCUAAAAUAAAACUAUAUAUUAAAGUUUUUGACCUAAAAUUAAUAAUAACCCCUAAAACUAUAAAAUUACCUCCCCUAAAACUAUAGAAUUACACUGACUAAAACUAUAAAAGUAAAAAAAUGUAAUUUCCCUAAAAUUAUAAAAGUACCUAGACUACAAAUAUACACUACAAAAAAUUGUACUAUUAACGACGAGAAAUCCCGUCGCGAAAGGCCAAUAAUCGUUAAUUAACGACGGGAUUUCCUGUCGUGAACCCGUCAUAAAAGGGGGCCGUCGUUAAUAGAAAUCCCGUCGUAAAUCCGUCAUAAACCCGUCGUGAAAGACAUUUGCGACGGUUAUUCCCGUCAUUGUUUGGUCUUUUGCGACGGGAUUUUUGACCCGUCGUAAUUAGGUUGUUGUUAAAGAUACAAAUUCUUGUAGUGAUAAAAGCAAUUGGCCUAAAACUAUGGAGAAGGCUAUUGACUGGUGUUACUUGACUUUCUAUGAUGUUGUUACUUGUACAUUGUAUUCGCUGUUUCUUUCUUUUUUACUGCAGUUUCUUGAACUUCAUAUUAAAGAUUCCUUGUAUAGACUGGUAUUACUUGACUCUCUAUGCUGGUGUUACUUAUACAUUGUAUUGGUCGUUACUUUUCCUGUUUUAUUGCAGUUUCAUAUUAUAGGUUCUUUGUAUAGACUGGUGUUACCUGACUUUAUAUAUAUGUUGGUGUUACUUAUACAUUGUAUUCGUCGUUACUUUUCUUGUUUUAUUGCAAUUUCAUAUUAGAGGUUCCUUGUAUAGGCUGGUGUUACUUGAAUUUCUAUGUUGGUGUUACUAUACAUUGUAUUCGAUGUUACUUUUCUUGUUUUAUAGCAGUUUCUUCAAUUUCAUGUCAGAGGUUCCUUGUAUAGACUGGUGUUACUAGACUUUCUAUGUUGGUGUUACUUAUACUUUGUAUUCGCCAUUACUUUUCUUGUUUUAUUGCAGUUUCUUCAAUUCCAUGUUUGAGGUUCCUUGUAUAUACUAUGUUACUUUAUUUUCUAUGUUGGUGUUACUUUUAGGUUUCGUUAACCAGCGUGUUGGGAUUUAAACGCACUGGAUUUAUUUAAGUGUUAACACACCACACCCUCAAGUUGAUGGUGUGGAUGAUCACAUCUAAGACUUGAACUUAAUUUUAAGGCCACCACCAUUUCGAGAUUGACGAGCCCUAGUCGGGGUCAUGCGGGGAAAUAAUGCACCAACAAGCAACAGACACCUUAUGUACCGUAGAAGAAUUAAAGAGUUGGACAAAUUUUGUUCACUUAGUCCUCCAACAAAGGGCUUUUGUGGUGUUACUUAAUAUGUUAAGCACAAUUUCACUUAAAACCUUAUGUACCGUAGAAGAACUAAAGAGUUGGACAAAUUUUGUUCACUUAGUCCUCCAACAGAGGGCUUUUGUGGUGUUACUUAAUAUGUUAAGCACAAUUUCACUUAAAUCCUUAAGGUAGCGUAGAUGUUACUGUAAUAUUUUAUUAGGAUUACUUUUUGUAUGUUAACGACGUUACUUUUAUACAUAGGCAAAUUAAUACUAAUAUUA